CGUGCACGAUUCAUCGUUACCCUUUCGUAUGCAAGCUGAGUUGAGUUGCUCACUAGGUCAGUAGGAAAGUGGUAUAUAAUAAAAGGCGACAUUUCCCGCUUUUAAAUACGUUAUAAACUAUCGCCGUGAUCAGGUCACUGCUAUAUACAGAGUUCUUCACAGAUUUGCGCAAUUGUCAAAAAUGAGACUGCUGCUGAUUGCCUUUCUUUUCAUCGGAAUCCUGCUCGUCCUUCCGGUCACGGAAUCGCAGAGCGUCGGAGACCAGAUUCGAUGCUGGACAUGCCCUGGUAACGAUGCCGAUCACAAAGAUUGCUGCGCGAAGGCCAAUAUGUGCUGCGAAGGACGUGUCAAGUUCGUUGGGAACUUCCCCAGACCUUCUACCACUUCGUACGGGAGAUAAAUAAACGUUUCUGAAAGCUCAUCUCUUAUUUCUGCUAAAAUAUGUGAUCAUUUUUAUUUUUUGAUUCUGUAAAUAGUGAUUAAAAGUUCAUGUAAAUAAAAGUUACUGUUCUUUUCUGCA